rnacentral:rRNA from 1 species
CAGUCGCCGCGGGAAUACGUAGGUGGCAAGCGUUGUCCGGAAUUAUUGGGCGUAAAGGGCUCGCAGGCGGUUUCUUAAGUCUGAUGUGAAAGCCCCCGGCUCAACCGGGGAGGGUCAUUGGAAACUGGGAAACUUGAGUGCAGAAGAGGAGAGUGGAGUUCCACGUGUAACGGUGAAAUGCGUAGAGAUGUGGAGGAACACCAGUGGCGAAGGCGACUCUCUGGUCUGUAACUGACGCUGAGGAGCGAAAGCGUGGGGAGCGAACGGGAUUAGAUACCCCAGUAGUCCCUGUCUCUUAUAC